rnacentral:rRNA from 1 species
UUAAAAAGCUCGUAGUUGGAUUUCUGUGGGGGCGGACGGCCGGCCGCUACUAGCGGUUCGAGCUAGCGCUUUCCCUACAUCCUGCCGCGAACCGCGCUACCAUUAGUUUGGUGGCGCCGGGGAUCGGCUCGUUUACUUUGAGAAAAAUAGAGUGUUCAAAGCAGGCCACACGCCUUGAAUAAGUUAGCAUGGAAUAAUAACUAAGGACUUCGGUUCUAUUUUGUUGGUGUUCGGGACUGAAGUAAUGAUUGAUAGGGACAGUUGGGGCGGUCCGUAUUCCAAAGCGAGAGGUGAAAUUCUUAGACCUUCGGAAGACGAACAGCUGCGAAAGCGUUCCGCAAGGAUGUUCCCUUUGAUCAAGAACGAAAGUUGGGGGAUCGAAGACGAUCAGAUACCGUCGUAGUCUCAACUAUAAACUAUACCAGCUAGGGAUCGGCCAACGUUACU